GCCGAGGUGGUGAAACAGGUAGACACAAGGGACUUAAAAUCCCUCGGCCCGCAAGGGCCGUGCCGGUUCGAUUCCGGUCCUCGGCA
rnacentral:tRNA from 1 species